AAUGAAGCCUUCUCGGGUAUCCCGCACAUCCGUACUCCCGCACCCCCGCACCCCCGCACAUCCGGCCGGACUGACAGAAAACGGACAGGGCAGGAAAGCGGCGCGGCCAAGAAGGAGCAGGAAAAAGAACGUUUCCACCUCCCCGUCGGGGAAUCGAACCCCGGUCUCCCGCGUGACAGGCGGGGAUACUCACCACUAUACUAACGAGGACGGCGACGGGAGAUCUUCUUCCGCGCGCGCACCCAUAGCAUCUUUUCACCAGCCGACCGCAACGCUUUCCCGCUUUUGUGCUUCCUUGCUCUCUGGCGACUCGUCCCGCCGCCCCAAAGACGACGAGCCCCAGGCCCAGGCGGCUUUGACGUUACGGCACGCGCAGCCUUUCCCAAAACAACCUUUUCCCCGCCACAGGCUACCUACACACGCGCGCGGCGGCUUCGCGGCUAGGAGGGAAGCCAUGGGGAGACCGACAGAGAGAGACGCAGUCAGGCACGAGAAAAGGGAAGCUUUUAGCUUCCUACCAGCACAAUCGCCAUGUGCAGAGUCGGAAGGCAGAGACUAUCUACAUUCUCCAAUACAUUCUUCUCUCCAUCACUCUAUUAUCUCCAGAAGAUCCAAUUCCAGUUUCAGCUCUUACCAGAGAAUACAAUCUACUUAAAUCCAAUAAACAUUUAUCAGCUGGCUAC
rnacentral:tRNA from 1 species